rnacentral:rRNA from 1 species
GCCGUAACUAUAACGGUCCUAAGGUAGCGAAAUUCCUUGUCGGGUAAGUUCCGACCCGCACGAAAGGCGUAACGAUUUGGGCCCUGUCUCAACAACAGACUCGGUGAAAUUGUAAUUCCGGUGAAGAUGCCGGAUCCCUGCGACAGGACGGAAAGACCCCAUGGAGCUUUACUGUAGCUUGACAUUGGGUCUUGGUACUACAUGUACAGGAUAGGUGGGAGGCUUUGAAACCAGG